UACAGAGGGGGCGAGCGUUGUUCGGAAUUACUGGGCGUAAAGGGCGCGUAGGCGGCCUGCUAAGUCGAACGUGAAAUCCCCGGGCUCAACCCGGGAACUGCGUCCGAUACUGGAAGGCUUGAAUCCGGGAGAGGGAUGCGGAAUUCCAGGUGUAGCGGUGAAAUGCGUAGAUAUCUGGAGGAACACCGGUGGCGAAGGCGGCAUCCUGGACCGGUAUUGACGCUGAGGCGCGAAAGCCAGGGGAGCAAACGGG
rnacentral:rRNA from 1 species